UAUAAGAAUUUGCGUCGAACGCGCCUAUUGUACGAUGCAAAUCCUUGUAUUAAGCGAUUUGCAUCAGACAUAUAAGCUCAUCCGACGCAGAUGAGUAAGCGUCUAAAAAUUAGACAAAAAAAAAUGUGUCGAACAUAGUUCGAGGUGCGACGCAGAUAAUUACAGUAUUAAAGCUAAUUUUUCUUUAGCCUUUUCUCUUAUCUCUAACCUAGAUAUCUAGAUGCCUCUCAUCUCUCUUCAGCCGUUUUGCCUAUCUCAUCUAACCUAGAUCUAGUCUCCUCUCACCACUCUCAACUCAACUCUCUCAACUUGGAUCUCAACUCUCAAGAUUUCAUUCUCUCUCCUCUGAACUGAAAUGCGUCAUUCUCACCAUUAAUGCGAAUUGAGCAACACCUCCAGAUUUAGGCUUAUUUGUGGUUGUUUCAAGGCGGCGGUUUGCUCCGCUAUGUUUGCUUCACUCAGUUCGCUCACUACAAGAAGCCUUCUACUUCUGGUCUUCCUAAGAGUUAUUUGCAUCGGAUAUGGACGCUUGCCCGACGCAAAUCGCUGAUUAAAUCAGCAGCCUUUUUGUCUUAUCGACGUCAGACUUUCCACUACAUCUGACGCAAACAGCACUAAAUCUACUUCGUGUUCACAUCCAACGCAUAUAAUAUUUUCCAAAUUUGCAUCGAGAACUGUGGCGUCGGAUCAAUGUCCGCCGUAAAUGGUGGUCCCAGGUGCAACACAAAUCAAUGAUUUUAUACUAGUGGUUGUUUUUAGUUUUCUUUUUUGUUCAUUCUCUUUUUUCUUUUUUCCUUUUUCUUUAAUUUUCCCUAUGCCUCAAAUCUUUUCCAUCUUCCACGAUUAUACUUGUAAAUUUAAACAAUAUAAUACUUCAUAUUACAACAAACUUAUUUUAAUUA